UGCUCGAUGCAGAACGACGGCGGCGCGCGGAUAAGGCGCGGCGGAGCGAAGUACUUGCAGGUGGAGGCGGGCCUCCAUGGCUCACACGGGGAACUCCGAGGUUAUGGCGCGACAACAGCGACUCCUUAUGUCCAGAUAGAGGCGCCUAACCCUUGCUCCCCUCAUCGUAUCCCCUCCUCCGGCAGGAACUCAUCAUCUGGUGAGAUCCCCUCCCCAUGCCUCCAACCGUGUGCCAAGCACCGGCAAGAAAUUUUGUUUUGUGAGGAUUUGUUUGCUGAUGAAUGAAUGUAUUGAAUGUAAGAUUGCAUUGUUGUAGAGACAGAGAAUGGAA
rnacentral:lncRNA from 1 species